CCGUAACCGCAAGGACGGGACGGUUGCCACGGUGCGUUCGUGACUGGGGUG
rnacentral:rRNA from 1 species